rnacentral:misc_RNA from 1 species
GCUCUUAACAUGCUAAAUUUCAUUUCUCAUGGUUGUUGAACUCUCUAAGUAGUGAUGGAACUUCUCUUUGGCAUGUUAGCAAUAUGCCAAUUGGCUUCUAUGGAAAACAUUCAGUGGGGAUAUUAUUUCUAAGAUAAGAAUGAAUUUUAGGUAUGAGAAAAUGAUUUACUGGAUAUCCCUGAAGAGUGGAGAUAGAAUUCCCUCUAUAUUCAUGAUAAUUGUUUGAGAGCUAUUCAUAGCCUGGAAGUGAUGUUUAUGAAAUGUAUCUUAGCAACUUCUCUUGGACAAAGAAAUGGAGUUUUGAAGAAAGUUGUGAUGGACGUUGUCAAUAUUUUCACUAGCAGUGCUUGUCAUGAACUUCUAACCUGAGGGAUGGAUUGAGGUUGUUGUCAGUGUUGCAGCAAGAUACAAAUAAAUAAACAAAUAAAUAAUGUUUAUCAGACUGGAAGCUGAUAUUUUAUCUCUAAAUCCAUUAUGUUCUAACAUUUAUUAGGUUUCCAUGGAGCAUUGUCCAAGUGAGGUAUUCAUUCACAUUUCAGCAGCCAGAUGCUGGGAAAUGGUG